UACGUAGGUGGCAAGCGUUAUCCGGAAUUAUUGGGUGUAAAGGGUGCGUAGGCGGGGUGUAAAGUCAGGUGUGAAAUCUGAGAGCUCAACUCUCAGACUGCAUUUGAAACUUACACUCUUGAGUGAAGUAGAGGCAAGCGGAAUUCCCAGUGUAGCGGUGAAAUGCGUAGAUAUUGGGAGGAACACCAGUGGCGAAGGCGGCUUGCUGGGCUUUUACUGACGCUGAGGCACGAAAGUGUGGGGAGCAAACAGGAUUAGAUACCCUGGUAGUCCACACCGUAAACGAUGAUUACUAGGUGUAGGCCGGCUGAACCGGUCUGUGCCGCAGUUAACACAAUAAGUAAUCCACCUGGGGAGUACGGCCGCAAGGUUGAA
rnacentral:rRNA from 1 species